UGUGUGUUAGUGGAAGCGUCUGGAAAGGCGCGCGAUACAGGGUGACAGCCCCGUACACAAAAAUGCACAUGCUGUGAGCUCGAUGAGUAGGGCGGGACACGUGGUAUCCUGUCUGAAUAUGGGGGGACCAUCCUCCAAGGCUAAAUACUCCUGACUGACCGAUAGUGAACCAGUACCGUGAGGGAAAGGCGAAAAGAACCCCGGCGAGGGGAGUGAAAAAGAACCUGAAACCGUGUACGUACAAGCAGUGGGAGCACGCUUAGGCGUGUGACUGCGUACCUUUUGUAUAAUGGGUCAGCGACUUAUAUUCUGUAGCAAGGUUAACCGAAUAGGGGAGCCGAAGGGAAACCGAGUCUUAACUGGGCGUUAAGUUGCAGGGUAUAGACCCGAAACCCGGUGAUCUAGCCAUGGGCAGGUUGAAGGUUGGGUAACACUAACUGGAGGACCGAACCGACUAAUGUUGAAAAAUUAGCGGAUGACUUGUGGCUGGGGGUGAAAGGCCAAUCAAACCGGGAGAUAGCUGGUUCUCCCCGAAAGCUAUUUAGGUAGCGCCUCGUGAAUUCAUCUCCGGGGGUAGAGCACUGUUUCGGCAAGGGGGUCAUCCCGACUUACCAACCCGAUGCAAACUGCGAAUACCGGAGAAUGUUAUCACGGGAGACACACGGCGGGUGCUAACGUCCGUCGUGAAGAGGGAAACAACCCAGACCGCCAGCUAAGGUCCCAAAGUCAUGGUUAAGUGGGAAACGAUGUGGGAAGGCCCAGACAGCCAGGAUGUUGGCUUAGAAGCAGCCAUCAUUUAAAGAAAGCGUAAUAGCUCACUGGUCGAGUCGGCCUGCGCGGAAGAUGUAACGGGGCUAAACCAUGCACCGAAGCUGCGGCAGCGACGCUGAUGCGUUGUUGGGUAGGGGAGCGUUCUGUAAGCCUGCGAAGGUGUGCUGUGAGGCAUGCUGGAGGUAUCAGAAGUGCGAAUGCUGACAUAAGUAACGAUAAAGCGGGUGAAAAGCCCGCUCGCCGGAAGACCAAGGGUUCCUGUCCAACGUUAAUCGGGGCAGGGUGAGUCGACCCCUAAGGCGAGGCCGAAAGGCGUAGUCGAUGGGAAACAGGUUAAUAUUCCUGUACUUGGUGUUACUGCGAAGGGGGGACGGAGAAGGCUAUGUUGGCCGGGCGACGGUUGUCCCGGUUUAAGCGUGUAGGCUGGUUUUCCAGGCAAAUCCGGAAAAUCAAGGCUGAGGCGUGAUGACGAGGCACUACGGUGCUGAAGCAACAAAUGCCCUGCUUCCAGGAAAAGCCUCUAAGCAUCAGGUAACAUCAAAUCGUACCCCAAACCGACACAGGUGGUCAGGUAGAGAAUACCAAGGCGCUUGAGAGAACUCGGGUGAAGGAACUAGGCAAAAUGGUGCCGUAACUUCGGGAGAAGGCACGC
rnacentral:rRNA from 1 species